ACUCCUACGGGAGGCAGCAGUGGGGAAUUUUGGACAAUGGGCGAAAGCCUGAUCCAGCAAUGCCGCGUGAGUGAAGAAGGCCUUCGGGUUGUAAAGCUCUUUUGUCAGGGAAGAAACGGUGAAAGCUAAUAUCUUUUGCUAAUGACGGUACCUGAAGAAUAAGCACCGGCUAACUACGUGCCAGCAGCCGCGGUAAUACGUAGGGUGCAAGCGUUAAUCGGAAUUACUGGGCGUAAAGCGUGCGCAGGCGGUUUUGUAAGUCUGAUGUGAAAUCCCCGGGCUCAACCUGGGAAUUGCAUUGGAGACUGCAAGGCUAGAAUCUGGCAGAGGGGGGUAGAAUUCCACGUGUAGCAGUGAAAUGCGUAGAUAUGUGGAGGAACACCGAUGGCGAAGGCAGCCCCCUGGGUCAAGAUUGACGCUCAUGCACGAAAGCGUGGGGAGCAAACAGGAUUAGAUACCCGUGUAGUCCCA
rnacentral:rRNA from 1 species